rnacentral:misc_RNA from 1 species
CACAAUAUGAAGGCGGGCUGGAACCUCUCGGGGUUACAGCCUUGCUGAAUUAUUCACCCUUGUCUUUUGCGUACUUCUUGUUUCCUUGGUGGGUUCGCCCACCACUAGGACAAACAUAAACCUAUUUGUAAUUGCAAUCAGCGUCAGUAACAAAUUAAUAAUUA